AGCUGUCCCUCCUGUCCCUCCUGCCAGGCUCUGCCAGCUGCUCUGGUGCCUCAGAGCUCUGAACACUGAGCACUGGGCCCUGUACUGAUCAGAGGUGGGGAAGGCUUCCUGUCCGCUUUGGACCUGAGCUGCCAGCACCUCGCCUUCCUGGAGAGAGAGACUGAGCAGCGCCCUCCCACUUCCCCCUCUUGUGUCUCCUCCGGCAGUGUUCAGGAGACGUGUGCACUUAUCAGGCUGCAGCCUAAACCCAGUCGCCACCCUGAGACCCUCAGAGGAGGAGCAACAGUGUCGGGACUCUGAGGCAGAGAGGAGGAUGACUGAGGCUCCUGCGGAGGCUGACACAGAUGCAGACAAGGAAGACACCCCCGGGGACAGUGGGCCAGGCCAUUCCCGUCCUAACAGGGAUUCCAUUCCUGAGGCUGCUUGGUAUGAGGGACUGGGGGAGCCAGAAGAUGCCACCCCCCUACUGCUGUGGGACUUUGGCCCCUUGGGGCAGUGGCUAGGGUUCACCCGGAGUAGGGACUGUCACAGAGGCUCACAAGUGUGGUUCAAGCUCCACCUUAGCGCACCCUCUGGGCCUUCCUCAAAAUCGCAUGACUCUGACACUGAGCCACCCUUGAGAAGUGGCAAGGGACAAGGGGCUUGGUGGAUGCAUCAUCUCCUUGUCUCAGGAAAGCAGCAGAUUUCUCCAGCCGACCAUGACUGGGGUCCUGGGCCCCCCCAAACCACAGAGGAGGCUGGGAAGGUGGAGAACAGGGCUGUUGGACCUGACUUUGACUGUGGCCUCCCCGAGAACACUAGUGGAACGGACCUGGAUGCCGGAAAACAUGGCCUGGACCUCACAUGGCCACGGCCAGGCAGGUGCCCAUGGAGAGGCUCUGGAUGCUGAAACACUUACGCCUGCAAAGGAUGUGUCACGGGAAGCCUUGGACAGUGACCGCUCUAUGAGACCGCUUAAGGGCCAUCUGCCUGUUACUACAUUUUGGUGGGAACAAGCAAUAAACUCUCCUGGCAUUGUCCAGCUACCUCAGGCAGCUACUUAAGGUCUCCUGUCCUUGGCAUCAUACUAGGAAUAUGGCCUAGAAGUGUUAGCAAUUCUGUGAGAAGUUUUCAUGUCUCCUAGUCCAUGGGCAAGGAGAAAGACAGCAAAAUGUUUUGGGCUGAGAGUCUUCAGUUGCUACCAGGGUCAGCCUAUAGAGGCUCAGAGGAGCCUGAAUGGUUUGUCACCUUCUGCUGUCACCAUACCUGGAGGCCCCUCCCCUUCAAGGGAUGCUGCCCUGUUCUGCUAGUCCAUCCCCAUUCCUGUCCAGCAUUGG
rnacentral:lncRNA from 1 species